AGGAGAAGGCCGGGAACUCUGCCCCGUUGAGAAGUGGUGGGAGCAAUAUCAAUACCACCCUUUCUACAGCGCAGGAUCCAGAAUGCGAUGGAGCUUGCAAGUAAUCUACGUAGGAAAGCUAACCUGGAGAGUUGAUGAUUUUGCACUUAUGUUGCCUUCAUCUUUCCCAUAAAAUUCAUGUUGUACUGCUGCAUCUCACUAGCAAAGUUGCACAGAUUCCUGUUCUUGAUUGAUAUCUUGCCAU
rnacentral:misc_RNA from 1 species